UGGUAAUUUUGUAUAAGCUUCCGGUAGAAACGAGCAGGAGCGAGAUAGCGUGAUUUUGUUUUUUGUGCAAUGAUAUCGUUUGUUAAAGAAAAAUCUUUAAGGAGACGAUGUCUAUUAGCCCAACAGUUGGGUGCCGGAAGUAGUGAAAAUCUAAGUGCAGUGCUGGGAAGCCAUUAUGAACGUGACAUCACAUCAACAACAAAAACUGAAACAAAAAAUAAAGUUGAUAAACAUAUAAAGUGGUUGAAUUCUGUGUUUUCUGUUUACAAUUCCAAAUUGUGCAUGAUUGUGUGUUAUAUUUAAAGAUUGCAGAUCUGCUCAUCAUUAACUAUUAGAAAGAUUUCCAAGAAAGUUCUUAAAGAAAUUGAUUAAUAUUAGUGAUAAAGCAUAAAAUUGAAUCAAGACUGCUUAGAAAAUUUUUUAUCGUAUUCAGAAUGAUGAUAAAUUGACAG
rnacentral:lncRNA from 1 species